rnacentral:lncRNA from 1 species
AUGUUUGGGACCUUAACAGAGUUUUUAGAGUGGCAGCAACAUCUCCAGUCAGAAGCCUUACAAAAGAUCAAUUGGUAUCUCACAUUUGGGGAACUAGAGUGCUUCCUUCAUGUGAAAUCAUCUCUAGUAAUGGAAACUCAGGUGUCUCCAGGGCAAUUUGGACUACUUUUAAUAUUUGGAAUAUUUAAGGGGAACAGCAGAGAGAGCCAGUUCUUGGAAGGAAGGAAUACGGGAGCCAUGCAUUGUAACGCAGAGCAAGAACAGAAUGUUCAUUCCAUGGGUUCCCUGCAAUGCUCUAGAUCCUCAGCUACAUGUUUACUCUUGGGUUUACAAGACACUUCUAAAGCCUUCUGCAACCAUCUAACCAUCCGAGUCUACAGGGUGUCAGACCACCAUUCCAUUCAUGGAGUGUCAUCAUCUCAGGAAUUGCUCACAGGACCAAUCUCCCCAUCGAGAACACAUCUGCUGUUUUGUGUGUUCACCAAGCGUUUUAUCCCCCUCCCAUUGUGUCUACACAUAAAACUAGUUUGUACUGUGCUUUGUCCCUUUCCCACUCUGUCCACACUUGGAACUAGUUCGAACCAUUCCUUCCUUCCCCUCCCUACUCUGCCUACACACAUAACCAGCUUUUCUAUGCCAGAUUGA